UUUUUCACCAAAACCUACCAAUUUCUCUUUCUCAACUUGUUUUCUUACCCACUCCUUUCUAGUUAUUGGCUACCCAAUUGUUUUUUUGUAUUAGAUAAAAUACUUUUCAUUUUUUUCUUUCACCAAACCUGUGUACCACAUGAGUUUAUAUCAAUUGCCACUACAAAAAAAAUAUCUAAAUUGUGGAAGUUUUAAAGUAGAGGUUAGUUGCAACCUUCACAAAUUACUUUAAGUAUCGGAGAUUUUAGAGCUGACAGAAAAUAUAAGUAAAUAGCGAAGGUUCAAAACCCCGCCAUCUAAAAUGCCCGUAAUCUGAAAAUAAAAAUUUUUAUUUCAAAAAUAUAAAAGUUCAUUAGUAUUUCAUUAUAAUGAAAAUGUAUGCCGGGGUUUAGAUCUCAACUUUCCCUCAAUAUUUUUCCUCCCAAAAUUUUAGGGUUGCAGGGAAGAUGUUCUCAGAAUUUUCUAGCUGGUGAAGAGAAUUCUGGUGAUUUAUGUUCGCAAAAAAGAAGAGGAACUCUAGUUAGGUGUUGAUUUUCCAUUAAGGAAGAGAGGAUUGAUUGGAUUCUCUCUAAGCUUGCAAAUUUGCUCUUCCGUCGACAAAUAUUCUCAAAAUCGUCACAGUAUUAGGCAUAUGAAGUGGUGAGAUUCUAGCUCUAGAUGUAUUCGCAGGUCAUCUGAAAUAGAGAUUUAGUGAUUGCCAUCCUGGGUGAGUUGCAGAAAGAAUGGUAUAUUUCCUGUAAAACUCUCUUUUAUGUGUUCACUUGGAUAUUAUGUGUUGUACAUAAGAUUAGUCACUGCAAAAAAUAUAUCAAGCCAUAAAUUGCUUUGAAUUCUGCUUAACGUUUUAUUUGGCAAGCGUUAUAUCUUAAUUGUUUUGGUAGGUUAACUUUUGAAUUCUCAUUGAAAGAUGUAUGACACAUGAAAUAGAAGUUGUUCUGAGAGUACGUUUGUAGAGUACUAAUGAUUUUGGAGCUCAAGUUGCUCAUUUUGGUGCGAUAAAGACGAUUGAUGUCAGUGAAAAUGAAAACAAGUCUAUGCAUGUAAUAAGAGGCUAUUGCUCUAGGUUAGUGUAUUAAUUUUUUCACUUUCACUUUUCACUUACCGCAAAUUAAUCAUUGUUUCUGAUUGUCCACAUUUUAUAAGAGAACAGUCUAUACACACUAAAGGGAAUUAUCAAAGUUAAGUACAGACAAGAUGCUUGUGAGGUUGGUGAUGAAGGUGGAUUCAUUCUAAAUGUCCACGGUAGUAGGGAAGGGCUAAUUACACCGAUAGAAAUUGGAAUGGAUGUAGUAACAUCUAAGUUGUUUUUCUAAGUUUCAAGAGACAACCAAAUAAUGCUUACAUACUGGAUUUGUGCCAAGAUAAGCAACGGAUAGAGGCAAUUGAUAAGUAGAGAGCUACGAUAUCUUGUUGAUGCCUUGUUUUAAUUUAUGUGAGUUGUGACAAGAAUUUUAUGAAUUCGACAACUACUGUGGAUUGACGUACACUGUAUUUGAUAUUACUGGGCAUUUUGUGCUUGGUGGACUGCAAAUAAAGAUAGUUAUGUGUGUAUUUAGGUAUCAUUGUAGAUUGUAGAAGUGAAUUAUGUAUCAUUGUAAAUUUUAGUACUAUUGUAGAUUGUAGUUCAUUGUCGUUGUUUUCUUUAA